rnacentral:rRNA from 1 species
CCUACGGGUGGCUGCAGUGGGGAAUAUUGCACAAUGGGCGCAAGUCUGACGCAGCAACGCCGCGUGAAGGAAGAAGGCUUUCGGCUCGUAAACUUCUAUCAUCAGGGACGAAAGAAAUGACGGUACCUAAAUAAUAAGCCACGGCUAACUACGUGCCAGCAGCCGCGGUAAUACGUAGGGGGCAAGCGUUAUCCGGAAUUACUGGGCGUAAAGGGUGAGUAGGCGGCGUGGUAAGCCAGAUGUGAAAGCCUUGGGCUUAACCCCGGGACUGCAUUUGAAACUGUCAAGCUAGAGUGCAGGAGAGGAAAGCGGAAUUCCUAGUGUAGCGGUGGAAUGCGUAGAUAUUAGGAGGAACACCAGAGGCGAAGGCGGCUUUCUGGACUGAAACUGACGCUGAGGCACGAAAGCGUGGGGAGCGAACAGGAUUAGAUACCCCAGUAGUC